rnacentral:rRNA from 1 species
AGGACGAACGCUGGCGGCGCGCCUAACACAUGCAAGUCGAGCGAGAACCAGGGCUUGCCCUGGGGAAAGCGGCGAACGGGUGCGUAACACGUGAGCAACCUGCCCCAAAGACCGGGACAACCCGAGGAAACUCGGACUAAUACCGGAUGCCCUCACCGGGCCGCAUGGUCUGGUGAGGAAAUGGAUUCCGCUUUGGGAUGGGCUCGCGGUCUAUCAGCUUGUUGGUGGGGUAACGGCCUACCAAGGCGACGACGGAUAGCUGGUCUGAGAGGACGAUCAGCCACACUGGGACUGAGACACGGCCCAGACUCCUACGGGAGGCAGCAGUGGGGAAUCUUGCGCAAUGGGGGAAACCCUGACGCAGCGACGCCGCGUGCGGGAUGAAGGCCUUCGGGUUGUAAACCGCUUUCAGCAGGGACGAAAUUGACGGUACCUGCAGAGAAGGCCCGGCCAACUACGUGCCAGCAGCCGC